GACGAACGCUGGCGGCGCGCUUAACACAUGCAAGUCGAGCGAUGAAACUUUAACAGAACCCUUCGGGGCGAAGAUAAAGUGGAUUAGCGGCGGACGGGUGAGUAACACGUGAGUAACCUGCCUUAGACAUUGGGAUAGCCUCGGGAAACCGGGAUUAAUACCAAAUAAAAUCAUAAUGACACAUGUCCUAACGAUCAAAACUCCGGUGGUCUAAGAUGGACUCGCGACCCAUUAGCUAGUUGGUAGAGUAAAAGCCUACCAAGGCGACGAUGGGUAGCCGGCCUGAGAGGGUGAACGGCCACAUUGGAACUGAGCAACGGUCCAAACUCCUACGGGAAGCAGCAGUGGGUGAUAUUGCACAAUGGAGGGAACUCUGAUGCAGCGCCGCCGCGUGAACGAAGAAGGCUUUCGAGUCGUAAAGUUCUUUUAUAUGGGAAGAUAAUGACGGUACCAUAAGAAAAAGCCCCGGCUAACUACGUG
rnacentral:rRNA from 1 species